rnacentral:rRNA from 1 species
AUACAGAGGGCCCGAGCGUUAAUCGGAAUCACUGGGCUUAAAGAGUUCGUAGGCGGUCUUGUAAGUAUCUUGUGAAAUCCCACGGCUCAACCGUGGUAUUGCUUGGUAAACUGCAAGACUUGAGUAUGGUAGAGGCUGUCGGAACUCUAGGUGGAGCGGUGAAAUGCGUAGAUAUCUAGAGGAACACCAAAGGCGAAGGCAGGCAGCUGGGCCAUUACUGACGCUGAGGAACGAAAGCGUGGGUAGCGAACGGGAUUAGAAACCCUAGUAGUCC